rnacentral:rRNA from 1 species
ACGUAGGGUGCGAGCGUUGUCCGGAAUUAUUGGGCGUAAAGAGCUUGUAGGCGGUUUGUCGCGUCUGCCGUGAAAAUCCGAGGCUCAACCUCGGACUUGCGGUGGGUACGGGCAGACUAGAGUGGGGUAGGGGAGACUGGAAUUCCUGGUGUAGCGGUGAAAUGCGCAGAUAUCAGGAGGAACACCGAUGGCGAAGGCAGGUCUCUGGGCCACUACUGACGCUGAGAAGCGAAAGCAUGGGGAGCGAACAGG